AACACGUGGGUGAUCUGCCCUGCACUUUGGGAUAAGCCUGGGAAACUGGGUCUAAUACCGGAUAGGACCACGCGCUUCAUGGUGUGUGGUGGAAAGCUUUUGCGGUGUGGGAUGGGCCCGCGGCCUAUCAGCUUGUUGGUGGGGUAAUGGCCUACCAAGGCGACGACGGGUAGCCGGCCUGAGAGGGUGACCGGCCACACUGGGACUGAGAUACGGCCCAGACUNCUACGGGAGGCAGCAGUGGGGAAUAUUGCACAAUGGGCGCAAGCCUGAUGCAGCGACGCCGCGUGAGGGAUGACGGCCUUCGGGUUGUAAACCUCUUUCAAUAGGGACGAAGCGCAAGUGACGGUACCUAUAGAAGAAGGACCGGCCAACUACGUGCCAGCAGCCGCGNUAAUACGUAGGGUCCGAGCGUUGUNNNNNGGGAGUACGGCNGCAAGGCUAAAACUCAAAGGAAUUGACGGGGGNCCGCACAAGCGGCGGAGCAUGUGGAUUAAUUCGAUGCAACGCGAAGAACCUUACCUGGGUUUGACAUGCACAGGACGCCGGCAGAGAUGUCGGUUCCCUUGUGGCCUGUGUGCAGGUGGUGCAUGGCUGUCGUCAGCUCGUGUCGUGAGAUGUUGGGUUAAGUCCCGCAACGAGCGCAACCCUUGUCUCAUGUUGCCAGCACGUUAUGGUGGGGACUCGUGAGAGACUGCCGGGGUCAACUCGGAGGAAGGUGGGGAUGACGUCAAGUCAUCAUGCCCCUUAUGUCCAGGGCUUCACACAUGCUACAAUGGCCGGUACAAAGGGCUGCGAUGCCGUGAGGUGGAGCGAAUCCUUUCAAAGCCGGUCUCAGUUCGGAUCGGGGUCUGCAACUCGACCCCGUGAAGUCGGAGUCGCUAG
rnacentral:rRNA from 1 species